AGCAUGUCUGAUAAUAGAGUUACUUUGAUAGAGUAAAUUAUAGAGGUUAAAACCCUCUUGCUUUUA
rnacentral:tRNA from 1 species